GACGAAAUAUGGCACUAGUAGAAUUCACUGUAGACAACACCCAGUGGUUUCACAGGCGCCAUAAAUUGAA
rfam:Ciona savignyi cont_62910, whole genome shotgun sequence.